AUUGAACGCUGGCGGCAGGCCUAACACAUGCAAGUCGAGCGGCAGCGGGAAAGUAGCUUGCUACUUUUGCCGGCGAGCGGCGGACGGGGGAGUAAUGCCUGGGGAUCUGCCCAGUCGAGGGGGACAACUACUGGAAACGGUAGCUAAUACCGCAUACGCCCUACGGGGGAAAGCAGGGGACCUUCGGGCCUUUCGCGAUUGGAUGAACCCAGGUGGGAUUAGCUAGUUGGCGAGGUAAUGGCUCACCAAGGCGGCGAUCCCUAGCUGGGCUGAGAGGAUGAUCAGCCACACUGGAACUGAGACACGGUCCAGACUCCUACGGGAGGCAGCAGUGGGGAAUAUUGCACAAUGGGGGAAACCCUGAUGCAGCCAUGCCGCGUGUGUGAAGAAGGCCUUCGGGUUGUAAAGCACUUUCAGCGAGGAGGAAAGGUUGGUAGCUAAUAACUGCCAGCUGUGACGUUACUCGCAGAAGAAGCACCGGCUAACUCCGUGCCAGCCGCCGCGGUAACAC
rnacentral:rRNA from 1 species